rnacentral:rRNA from 1 species
UACGUAGGGUGCAGGCGUUAAUCGGAAUUACUGGGCGUAAAGCGUGCGCAGGCGGCUUCCUAAGUCAGAUGUGAAAUCCCCGGGCUCAACCUGGGAACUGCGUUUGAAACUGGGAGGCUAGAGUGCGGCAGAGGGGGGUGGAAUUCCACGUGUAGCAGUGAAAUGCGUAGAGAUGUGGAGGAACACCGAUGGCGAAGGCGACUUUCUGGGCUGUAACUGACGCUGAGGCGCGAAAGCGUGGGGAGCAAACAGG